rnacentral:rRNA from 1 species
AUUGAACGCUGGCGGCAUGCUUUACACAUGCAAGUCGAACGGUAACAGGCCUUCGGGUGCUGACGAGUGGCGACCGGGUGAGUAAUGCAUCGGAACGUACCCAGAGGUGGGGGAUAACGCAGCGAAAGCUGUGCUAAUACUGCAUGUGAUCUGAGGAUGAAAGCGGGGGACCGCGCAGCAAUGUUUGGCCUCGCGCCUUUGGAGCGGCCGAUGUCGGAUUAGCUAGUUGGUGGGGUAAAGGCCUACCAAGGCGACGAUCCGUAGCUGGUCUGAGAGGACGAUCAGCCACACUGGGACUGAGACACGGCCCAGACUCCUACGGGAGGCAGCAGUGGGGAAUUUUGGACAAUGGGCGCAAGCCUGAUCCAGCAAUGCCGCGUGCGGGAAGAAGGCCUUCGGGUUGUAAACCGCUUUUGGCAGGAACGAAACGGUGUCCGCUAAUACCGGGCGCUAAUGACGGUACCUGCAGAAUAAGCACCGGCUAACUACGUG